rnacentral:rRNA from 1 species
GACGUAGGGCGCGAGCGUUGCCCGGAUUUAUUGGGCGUAAAGAGCUCGUAGGCGGCUUGUCGCGUCGACUGUGAAAACCCACGGCUCAACUGUGGGCUUGCAGUCGAUACGGGCAGGCUAGAGUUCGGUAGGGGAGACUGGAAUUCCUGGUGUAGCGGUGAAAUGCGCAGAUAUCAGGAGGAACACCGGUGGCGAAGGCGGGUCUCUGGGCCGAUACUGACGCUGAGGAGCGAAAGCGUGGGGAGCGAACAGG